rnacentral:lncRNA from 1 species
GAAGCACCAGGACUCUCUCUCUCCAGCUACACAAACCAUACUGUUAUGGAAAUCUGAAAGUUCCAGGAGAAAGCUUGGAUGGACAAAAGCUGCUGCCACUAUGUCAUCACGGAGGAGCAUGGGAUACAAGAGAUAUGUCUGAGAUGCCAGAGGUCUUGGACAAGUUCAGAAUGCAGGAGCUGUGGCUUCUGUCACCUACCAUAACAAGGAAAUGACAGGAGGGAAAAUUCUUCUUCAGGUAUGUGAUUCUGAAACCAUAUGACAGGAUGUGGGAGAUAGUGAAC